UUUCUGUAGGUGAACCUGCGGAAGGAUCAUUAUUGUAUAACCGAGGUGCGAGGGCUGUCGCUGACCCGAAAGGUCGUGCACGCCCGAGUGCCCUCACACACAUCCAUCUCACCCCUAUGUGCACCACCGCGUGGGUCCCCCUUUGGCUUGUUCGGAGGGGGGCUUACGUUUUCACACAAACUUUGUAUGCAGUGUAGAAUGUAUUUUUUGUUUUUGCGAUCACGCAAUCAAUACAACUUUCAACAACGGAUCUCUUGGCUCUC
rnacentral:misc_RNA from 1 species